rnacentral:rRNA from 1 species
AGGACGAACGCUGGCGGCGUGCUUAACACAUGCAAGUGGAGCGACGAACCAGGGCUUGCCCUGGGGCAGAGCCGCGAACGGGUGAGUAACACGUGGGUUACCUGCCUCGAUGACCGGGACAACCCGAGGAAACUCGGGCUAAUACCGGAUGUGCCCGCAAGGGGAAAGGAAGCUUCGGCCUCCGCAUCGAGAUGGGCCCGCGGCCCAUUAGCUUGUUGGUGAGGUAACGGCUCACCAAGGCUUCGAUGGGUAGCUGGUCUGAGAGGACGAUCAGCCACACUGGGACUGAGACACGGCCCAGACUCCUACGGGAGGCAGCAGUGGGGAAUCUUGCGCAAUGCGCGAAAGCGUGACGCAGCAACGCCGCGUGGGGGAAGAAGGCUUUCGGGUUGUAAACCCCUUUCAGUUGGGACGAAGCUUCUCCGGUGAAUAGCCGGACGGAGUGACGGUACCUUCACAAGAAGCACCGGCUAACUACGCGCCAGCAGCCGCGGU